CUUGGCUGAGCCGGCAGGCUGCUGAGCGCAUGCGCCUGAGGGCUUUUACCCCUCCCUUCUCUCCCUGCUUCCAACCGGCGCGCGGCUGGAGGCUGGGAACCAGCUCCUGGGUCUUAGUCAGAGGUUCACAUCCACCAACUAUCUUCCCAGGGUUGGACUGAGAAGGGGAGCAGAGGGUCCCAGGGACUCUCCUGAGAUCCUGGCUCUCCUGCCAAGGAAUUUACAUUUCCUUGUCACAGCACCAUGUAAGAUAUCCAACUACUCUGAAACUACCACACUGUGAAGAGUCUAACCAAGCCACCUGGAGAGACCAAACGGAAGAAAACUAAGGCCCCUGGCCAACAGCCCUAGCUGUGCUCCUACUGGCCAGUCAGCACCAGCCUGCCAGGCAUGUGACUGAGACAGUCUUGGAAGUGGAUUUUCCAGCCCUACUCAAGCUGCCGCAGCUGACACCACAUGGAACAGAGAUGAGCUUUUCUCCCCAGUGCCCAAAUAGCAGAAUUGUGGAAAAAUAAAUAAAACAGUUGUAUUAAGCCACUAAGUUUUGCUAUAGUUUAUUAGAUAUCAUUAAAUAACCAGAACAGACCUAUGUAUUCAGCUGCCUGCUAGAGAUGUAUCCCAGGUGGUCUC
rnacentral:lncRNA from 10 species